rnacentral:rRNA from 1 species
UACAGAGGUCUCAAGCGUUGUUCGGAUUCAUUGGGCGUAAAGGGUGUGUAGGUGGCGCGCUAAGUCGGGUGUGAAAUUUCGGAGCUUAACUCCGAAACUGCAUUCGAUACUGGCGUGCUUGAGGACUGGAGAGGAGACUGGAAUCCAUGGUGUAGCAGUGAAAUGCGCAGAUAUCAGGAGGAACACCGGUGGCGAAGGCGGCUUGCUGGGCCAGUUCUGACGCUGAGGAGCGAAAGCGUGGGGAGCGAACAGG